rnacentral:lncRNA from 1 species
GGGAUCCGUUCUGCUUCCGCACAUCCGUCCAUCGCCCCCCUUAGGACUGUCGCCCCUUCUAUUCCCUUUGCCCCCAGAUUCCUGGUACCUUUGCAUAAUAAUUGGAAUUCUCCCUCAGCUCUUGAAUUUGUUCAGAUCUGGGCUAGGAAGCGAGCGUCUCUCCUCCACCCCUGGCAUGCAGUGAUGAC